rnacentral:rRNA from 1 species
AAUCAACGCUGGCGGCGUGCCUAACACAUGCAAGUCGAACGCGAAAGUGGAGCAAUCCAUGAGUAGAGUGGCAAACGGGUGAGUAACACGUGGGUGACCUGCCUUCGAGUGGGGGAUAACGUCCCGAAAGGGACGCUAAUACCGCAUAACAUCCUGUCUUUUAAGAGAUGGACAUCAAAGCUGGGGAUCGCAAGACCUAGCGCUUGAAGAGGGGCCCGCGUCCGAUUAGCUAGUUGGUGGGGUAAUGGCUCACCAAGGCAACGAUCGGUAGCCGGCCUGAGAGGGCGGACGGCCACACUGGGACUGAGACACGGCCCAGACUCCUACGGGAGGCAGCAGUGGGGAAUUGUUCGCAAUGGGCGCAAGCCUGACGACGCAACGCCGCGUGGAGGAUGAAGAUCUUCGGGUCGUAAACUCCUUUCGAUCGAGACGAACGGCCCCUGGGCUAAUCACCAGGGGAGUGACGGUACCGAGAGAAGAAGCCCCGGCUAACUCCGUGCCAGCAGCCGCGGUAAUACGGGGGGGGCAAGCGUUGUUCGGAAUUACUGGGCGUAAAGGGCUCGUAGGUGGCCAACUAAGUCAUACGUGAAAUCCCUCGGCUUAACCGGGGAACUGCGUCUGAUACUGGAUGGCUUGAGUUUGGGAGAGGGAUGCGGAAUUCCAGGUGUAGCGGUGAAAUGCGUAGAUAUCUGGAGGAACACCGGUGGCGAAGGCGGCAUCCUGGACCAACACUGACACUGAGGAGCGAAAGCCAGGGGAGCAAACGGGAUUAGAUACCCCGGUAGUCCUGGCCCUAAACGAUGAAUGCUUGGUGUGGCGGGUAUCGAUCCCUGCCGUGCCGAAGCUAACGCAUUAAGCAUUCCGCCUGGGGAGUACGGUCGCAAGGCUG